rnacentral:misc_RNA from 1 species
GAUGAAGAACGUAGUGAAAUGCGAUAAGUAGUGUGAAUUGCAGAAUUCAGUGAAUCAUCGAAUCUUUGAACGCACAUUGCGCCCUUUGGUAUUCCUUAGGGCAUGCCUGUUCGAGCGUCAUUUAAACCUUCAAGCUCAGCUUGGUGUUGGGUGACUGUCCGCUUCACCGCGGACUCGCCUCAAAAUUAUUGGCGGCUGGUACAUUGGCUUCGAGCGCAGCAGAAACGCGAACUCGGGCCCGUCGUAUUGGCUCCCAGAAGCUAUCUUCACAAUUUUGACCUCGGAUCAGGUAGGGAUACCCGCUGAACUUAAGCAUAUCAAUAAGCGGAGGA